UACGGAGGGUGCGAGCGUUGUCCGGAAUCACUGGGCGUAAAGGGCGCGUAGGCGGCGCGAGCAGUCGGCGGUGAAAGCCCGGAGCUCAACUCCGGGUCGGCCGUCGAUACUCUCGUGCUUGAGCACUGUAGAGGCAGGUGGAAUUCCGGGUGUAGCGGUGGAAUGCGUAGAGAUCGGGAAGAAUACCUGUGGCGAAGGCGGCCAGCUGGGCCAGAUCCGACACUGAGGCGCGAAAGCGUGGGAGCAACAGGAUAGAUACC
rnacentral:rRNA from 1 species